rnacentral:rRNA from 1 species
UACGGAGGAUCCAAGCGUUAUCCGGAAUCAUUGGGUUUAAAGGGUCCGUAGGCGGUUUGGUAAGUCAGUGGUGAAAGCCCAUCGCUCAACGGUGGAACGGCCAUUGAUACUGCCAGACUUGAAUUAUUAGGAAGUAACUAGAAUAUGUAGUGUAGCGGUGAAAUGCUUAGAGAUUACAUGGAAUACCAAUUGCGAAGGCAGGUUACUACUAAUGGGAUUGACGCUGAUGGACGAAAGCGUGGGGAGCGAACAGG